GCGAAGCUGUAGGCAUGCCAACAACUCUGCAAAGCUCUCCAUCCAAGCAGCGCAGCCAUCGGCGGUUGGAGAAGCGAAUGAAGCUAUUCAGCAGCGAGCUCAGGCAGCUGGCGCUCCAAUUCUCCAUGACCAUGGAUGGAGUCAUGGAGCUAGCUCUUCGGCUUCGGGUUAGCGGACGCGGACUGCAGAGGAACCCGCUGCCAGAUUAGCGGGUCCGAAUGUGAUUCGAUCCAACCUGAGCCAUUGUCCAUUCACUACCCUUGUGAAGCUAGUACACCAAUCGCCUGCUACCUCCAAGUCUACAAAAAAGAAGAGGAAGGCACAAGGGAAUGCUAAGAAGCAAAAGGCUGCAAUGGAGUCAAAGAAGCAAGAAUUGGUGCCACCUCAAAGUCCUGCUAUGUGCACCAUAAGCAAGACUCCUACUCCUGACAGCCCUGCAAUGGGUACUAGAAGCAAAAGGAAAAUCCUCAAAUGAAUGUGCUGCUAUCUUGGCCUAUUUUGCUAAUUUUGUGGGAUGAAAGUUGCAUGAUCUGGAUGCUGGAAGAUGUAUCUCCAAGAUAGUCUAUGUGUUGAGAAACUGAAACUUAACUCAUUUUGGUUGGGAGAACACAUCUGUAAUGGUCCUUUUGCUAUUUAACUUUGCUGGCAUGUAAUUGACAACUUGUGCAUGUCAGGUGAUGGAUCUGUAUGCUCUUUGAGAGCCUAUGUUGUGACCAGUCCUUAUUUAGAACUUUGGAGAUAUUAUACACGUUUGAGUGCUUGAAUGGACCUAUUUGUUGAGCUCCUACA